GAUGAACGCUGGCGGCGUGCCUAAUACAUGCAAGUCGAACGCGCAGCGAGAGGUGCUUGCACCUUUCAAGCGAGUGGCGAACGGGUGAGUAACACGUGGAUAACCUGCCUCAAGGCUGGGGAUAACAUUUGGAAACAGAUGCUAAUACCGAAUAAAACUUAGUAUCGCAUGAUAUAAAGUUAAAAGGCGCUACGGCGUCACCUAGAGAUGGAUCCGCGGUGCAUUAGUUAGUUGGUGGGGUAAAGGCUUACCAAGACAAUGAUGCAUAGCCGAGUUGAGAAACGGAUCGGCCAGAUUGGGACUGAGACACGGCCCAAACUCCUACGGGAGGCUGCAGUAGGGAAUCUUCCACAAUGGGCGCAAGCCUGAUGGAGCAACGCCGCGUGUGUGAUGAAGGCUUUCGGGUCGUAAAGCACUGUUGUAUGGGAAGAAAUGCUAAAAUAGGGAAUGAUUUUAGUUUGACGGUACCAUACCAGAAAGGGACGGCUAAAUACGUGCCAGCCGCCGCCGUAAGAC
rnacentral:rRNA from 1 species